rnacentral:tRNA from 1 species
UGGGCUGGGGCUCAGUGGUAGAGCACUCUCCUCACCCAUGUGAGGCACUGGGUUCAAUCCUCAGCACCACAG